ACUGUGGAGUGUACAAGAACUUGUGAGUAGUGUGUCACUUGCGACCACCAAAACAUACACGAUGAAGCAGUAA
rnacentral:sRNA from 12 species